UACAGAGGGUGCUAGCGUUGUUCGGAAUCACUGGGCGUAAAGGGCGCGUAGGCGGCCAUCUAAGUCAGACGUGAAAUCCCUCGGCUUAACCGAGGAACUGCCCUCCAAACUGCUUUGCUUGAGGCCGGGAGAGGCGAGUGGAAUUCCCAGUGUAGCGGUGAAAUGCGUAGAUAUUGGGAGGAACACCAGUGGCGAAGGCGGCUCGCUGGACCGGUUCUGACGCUGAUGCGCGAAAGCGUGGGGAGCAAACGGG
rnacentral:rRNA from 1 species